rnacentral:rRNA from 1 species
GACGAACUGUGCGAACGUUAUUCGGAAUCACUGGGCUUACAGGGUGCGUAGGCGGCCUGUUAAGUAGGGUGUGAAAUCCCCCGGCCCAACCGGGGAAUGGCGCUCUAAACUAGCAGGCUUGAGUGAGCUAGGGGUGCACGGAACUUCCAGUGGAGCGGUGAAAUGUGUUGAUAUUGGAAGGAACACCGGAGGCGAAAGCGGUGCACUGGGGCUUAACUGACGCUGAGGCACGAAAGCCAGGGGAGCGAACGGG